AUGGAGAAUCUGUAAAGCUCAGGAGGGAUAGCACCAUGGAGAGAUUAUCUUAACGAGCUUAAUUAACACUGAUUUUAGGCUUUCUGUUUUGGCUAUCGGUCUGUUGCGCUAUCCAUCCUGAGUUUUAUGGCUUUUUUCAU
rnacentral:pre_miRNA from 1 species